GUUGGUGACAGCUAGCACGGCACCCUGACUUCUCUCCUCCAGCUGCCUCAUUUCCUAAAAACGCUGACUCCCUCGAAAAAAACCCUAGCCGCCACAACUCCCUCCUCUGGUUUUUCCCACAGCUCCUCUCCUCUCUUCUUUCUCGGGAUUCCGGGAUCCCAAAAAAAAAACAACAACGCCCACAGCUCCCUCAACUCACGGCCAUCCCCAGCCCGACAAUCGGCACCAUUGUCUCCCCUUCACCACCUCCCUUACUACUUUUAUUUGCCGCUGUGCUUCGUUACAUUGCCGCCCAAACUGCCCAUUCGCCAUCGAGUUGAUGAUCGCCUCCGAAGCUAAGUCUCCUCCAUCUCUACGUCAGUCUCCAUGUCUCUUAACUAAUUUUUCUGCUCUAACACAUUUUUUCUUUUUUUCUUUUUUUUUUGGCCUUUGUCCUUUCUCGCGCUAUCCUUUCUCCUCGCGGACAUCAAAGUUGGCCAAGCAAGACGAGAGGAAGAAGUCCCGCGGCCGCGCCUACAAACGGAUGCAUUAAAAUCAGAGCCGGUGAGCACCGAAUUGCACUUGUGCUCAAUUAAAUCUCUGGCCUAGGUUGCUUUGCUUCUUCGAUCUGAUUCGUUGACUAGGAUGAUGAUUAGAUAAGCCUAUUCGUUUAUUUGUGUUGUGGAUUGGUUUAUGGAAAUAUUAAUUUGAAGGCUUUGCAGCAAAAAUAAAAAAAUUGAUAACUUCCUCUUAUUGGAGUUGUCAUCCUGUGUGCCUUUGUUUCCUCGUGUUUCAAUCAUGAACCAAAUUCUCUAUUUGGGAGAACUGAUAUGAUUGUGAUGGCAACUUGAUAAUUUUUUUUUCAAUUCGAUUGGACGUGAUGUAUACCUUUGUUGUUAUUCGAUUUGCACAUGUCUUCGUUCCGCAAUCUAAACGUGGGGCUAAUCUCGAACUCAUUGAGCAUGCAACACGUUGAGCGUAUGAUGAGUACGAAGUGAACUUGUUCUCAGUUUCUCGGAGUCAGGAUGUUUUGCUUCUUCAUUCUAGACUAAGAGGAUUAAAUUAAUCAUGCCUCUCUUAUUAUUUUUGGUAAAUUGAUUUAUUUUAUAAAAAAAUUUGUUAUUGCAUCGGACAGAACAUAAUUUCAAUCCAUAUAUAUAUAUAAAUAUAUAUACACAUUUUGCAGAAAAAGAAAAAUGAUAAUUUCUGCGUGUGUCAAGCAUCAUUGCCUCUUGCAUUUAAUUCGCACAUGUUAUGAAUAUAUAAUAGAUCAUAUUGGAUAACUUGUUUGGGUUUUGGGAUUGUUUCGAAUUUCAUGUUUCAUCAUCGUCUAUUGUUUUCUCUGAUGUUUGCUUGUCUCAUGUUGGCUCGAGUCCUUCGGAGUUGUAUUUCCUCUUUUUCUCUUCCUCCUCGUUCUCUUCUUGUUUUCUUGCAUAUCUCACGAGAGGAGAAGAAAGGUGGCGAGGCAAGAAGAUAUUAGGCCAAUAUCGGUGGGGCUCAAAGAUGACGGGGAGACUUACCUAGGCUUAGGUUGAGUCUGGAUUUGAAGGCCACCUAGGUCCGUGGUUGUCGUGGGAUCUUCCGAGCUAAUCGAUCCCAGGAAUCUCCUAGGAUAAGGUAGUGGCGACUCUUUCUCACGUAUGUCUGUCGCGCGUCCCCGGGAAGGUGGACACACCCAAGCCGCGCUGCAUUUAGGCGCGCGCAUGCGUGCCCCGACAAGAUUAAAAUUCGGGUGUGCACAGCCGAGUCAAACUAUUAUCAUUUAAGGUUUGACUGCGAAUGGAACCAUGUUGGGAAUAAAAGAUUUCUAGGUAAACAAGCUCAUAUAUUGAGCGUGGCAUCUAAUCAGAUCUUGGAGUACUUAGUUAUGGGAAUAAUUAGAUAUGGUAGAUUUUAUGGUUGCUUGUUCUCUAAGUUUGUAACUAGGGUUUUGAAUCUUUAAAUACCGAUGCAUUCAGUUUCAGAGCGUGUGUGGGAGUAUCUCCCUAUCACCAUAGGUGGAACAGUUGGAAUAAAAUUUUGCUUUCAAAUUUCUCUACCUUCAGUGUUUUCGCUGCCAACAUUUGGUAUCAAAACAGCUGCACAUCUAACAAUUUGGCAUCAAAGCCAGUUACAGUUAACAUUAAAACCGUUUGUAGCCACUGUCGAGGGUUGGUUUAGGCUAUUUCGAAGGUUUCGAGAUGAAUGGCGAACGGAGUUGAAGGUAAGUGUGGAGGCUUCGAUCAGGGGAACGAGGGGCCUCGGCUGACGUGGAAGGGUAGAUUGUGGUGGCACGGGUGAUUGAUGUCUCUACACCCAGUGCUACGAGGAGGAGAAGUGGGUCCUAGUCACCUAGAUCGGCUACCUCUUGAGAGAAGGAUUCAGUCCCUAGAGUAGAUCCACCACCACUAAUUGACCACCAAGAGACACCCGAUCCUGGACACUCUCAGCCUUCUCUUAAGGACGGGGUAAUGAAGAUUACGCCAAGCAGAGGACUCGGUUCGAGGCAUUCAUCGUCAUCAGUGAUGGGAACAACCACAUUCGUUGCUAGGAUAGUGGCAGCUUGUAUGCCCAAGAAGGUGCUUAUUGCGAUAAAUUUAACAGUGAGCACUCAAGUAUAUGUAUCAAACAAGUAGUAUGUAAUGAAUACAAGUAUCGUUCUCAUGAGAAAA